CAAUAGCGUAUAUUAAAGUUGUUGCAGUUAAAAAGCUCGUAGUUGGAUUUGUGGCGUACGGUGGGUUCCGGGCACUUGUUGUCUGAGUAACUUGCUGUUGCCAUCCUUGGGUGGAACCUGUGUGGCAUUAGGUUGUCGUGCAGGGGAUGCCCAUCAUUUACUGUGAAAAAAUUAGAGUGUUCAAAGCAGGCUUAUGCCGUUGAAUAUAUUAGCAUGGAAUAAUGAGAUAGGACUUUUUUGCUAUUUUGUUGGUUUGCGCAAAGGGGUAAUGAUUAAUAGGGACAGUUGGGGGUAUUCGUAUUCCAUUGUCAGAGGUGAAAUUCUUGGAUUUUUGGAAGACGAACUACUGCGAAAGCAUUUACCAAGGAUGUUUUCAUUAA
rnacentral:rRNA from 1 species